rnacentral:rRNA from 1 species
UACGUAGGGUGCGAGCGUUAAUCGGAAUUACUGGGCGUAAAGCGUGCGCAGGCGGUUUUGUAAGCCAGAUGUGAAAGCCCCGGGCUUAACCUGGGAAUGGCAUUUGGGACUGCAAGGCUUGAGUGCGGCAGAGGAGACUGGAAUUCCUGGUGUAGCAGUGAAAUGCGUAGAUAUCAGGAGGAAUACCGAUGGCGAAGGCAGGUCUCUGGGCUGACACUGACGCUCAUGCACGAAAGCUGGG